GGGGUUCUAGCUCAUCGGUAGAGCGCUCGCUUCGCAUUCCGACGAAUUGGAUAACUUGCGAGAGGUGAAGGGUUCGACUCCCUUGUGCUCCA